GCAUAUCAAUAAGCGGAGGAAAGGAAAUUAACGAAGAUUUCCUUAGUAACGGCGAGUGAAAAGGAAACAGUCCAGCGCUGCCUAUGGUUAAGGGACCUGUAGCGUGUAGGAGAGCCUAUCUGUCGAGUUAUUGGCUUCGGAAUCGCCCUUGAAUGGGAGUCCAAAGUGGGUGCGAGACCCGUAACGAAGUCAUGCUCGUCGGUCAGAGCCUCCUUAGAGUCGGGUUACUUGAGAGUGUAGCCCAAAGCGGGAGGUAAACCCCUUCUAAGACUAAAUAUGACCGCGAGACCGAUAGCGAACAAGUACCGCGAGGGAAAGUUGAAAAGACUUUGAAGAGAGAGUUCAAAAGGGCGUGAAACCGCUUAGAAUAAAACGGACGGAGCCGUCAGUGGCCUUCUGGAAUCAGUCGUAUGACGCGCGAUAAUUCGCUAGUCAGACCGAAUAGUCUGACUAGUGGGUUGGAAAAUAGCGUUCAUUCGAUGCAUUUCCAGAGGGUAAGCGCCGCGACCGAUGUGAAAGGCUAGUGAAACUAGCGAAUUGAGAGCGAAACCCUUCGGGGUCUUCGUAACCAGUUCGUUGGUCUAAAGUCGCUAGACCGCAGUAUGCAUCGAGCGAAGAAUUUUGACAUAACGCCGGCAGUAAAGCUCGUUCAAGUGGUGGAAAGUCAAUGGAUUAUUCGUCGCCUGCUCGCAGGUUACGUUUAUUCCCAUUUGGCGCUAGAAACUGCAGACGAGUAUUGGCGUUUGGGCGUCCAGCGGCGUCCGAGACGGUCAACCGUCCGACCCGUCUUGAAACACGGACCAAGGAGUCUAACGUAUGCGCGAGCUAUGAGUGGAAACUCAUAAGCGCAAUAAAAGUAAAAGCCGUCUCAGGCGGCGCGGGGUACGAUCCUCGGGUAGAGAUAUUCGAGGCGCAGUACCAUCCCGUCCUGAUCGCUUGUCGAUAGGGCGGAGAUUGAGUGCAUACGUUGGGACCCGAAAGAUGGUGAACUAUGCCUGAGCAGAGCGAAGCCAGAGGAAACUCUGGUGGAGGUUCGUAGCGGUUCUGACGUGCAAAUCGAUCGUCAGACUUGGGUAUAGGGGCGAAAGACUAAUCGAACCAUCUAGUAGCUGGUUCCUUCCGAA
rnacentral:rRNA from 1 species